rnacentral:rRNA from 1 species
UACGGAGGGUGCGAGCGUUGUUCGGAAUCACUGGGCGUAAAGCGCGUGUAGGCGGCCCAUUAAGUCUGAUGUGAAAGCCCGGGGCUCACCCCCGGAAGUGCAUUGGAAACUGAUGGACUCGAGUCCCGGAGAGGAGAGUGGAAUUCCUGGUGUAGCGGUGAAAUGCGUAGAUAUCAGGAGGAACACCGGUGGCGAAGGCGGCUCUCUGGACGGUGACUGACGCUGAGGCACGAAAGCGUGGGGAGCAAACAGG